rnacentral:rRNA from 1 species
AUGAAGCGCUUCUUCCAGCCCGUGCUCAAGGACGGAUCCCCCGCCAAGAAGAGGCCCGCCGGAGCGGCGACCUCUGACUGCGUUGAUGGCCCCGCCCCCACCGCGGCCGACGCCGGCGGGGACGGCCCUCCCGGCGAGGAGCCACGCAGGUUCGUCACGUGGAACGCCAACAGCCUUCUGCUCCGGAUGAAGAGCGACUGGCCCGCGUUCUGUCAGUUCGUCGCCCGCGUCGACCCCGACGUCAUCUGCGUCCAGGAAGUGCGGAUGCCAGCAGCUGGUUCCAAAGGGGCACCUAAAAAUCCUAGUGAGCUAAAAGACGACACAACCUCAUCACGUGAAGAAAAACAGACAGUGUUGCGUGCUUUGUCGAGUUCACCUUUCAAAGACUACCGUGUCUGGUGGUCCCUUUCAGAUUCCAAGUACGCAGGCACAGCUGUGUUUAUGAAGAAGAAGUUUGAACCAAAGAAAGUGUCAUUCAACUUGGAUAGAACAUACGGCCGUGUCAUCAUUGUGGAAUUUGAAUCAUUCUUGUUACUAAACACAUAUGCUCCAAACAACGGGUGGAAAGAGGAGGAAAAUUCAUUUCAAAGAAGAAGAAAGUGGGAUAAAAGAAUGUUGGAGUUUGUUCAACAAGUAAACAAGCCCUUAAUCUGGUGCGGAGAUCUGAACGUUAGUCAUGACGAAAUCGAUGUCAGCCAUCCUGAUUUUUUUAGCGAUGCUAAGCUCAAUGGAUAUAUCCCUCCAAAUAAAGAGGACUGUGGACAGCCUGGAUUCACCCUUGCAGAGAGACAGCGUUUUGGCAAUAUAUUGUCGCAGGGAAAGCUGGUAGAUGCUUACAGAUACCUGCACAAAGAAAAAGACAUGGAGUGUGGCUUCUCUUGGUCUGGGAAUCCAGUUGGGAAGUACCGAGGAAAGAGAAUGCGGAUUGACUAUUUUGUUGUUUCAGAAGGGUUGAAGGACAGAAUUGUUUCAUGUGAAAUGCAUGGUCAUGGAAUUGAACUGGAAGGAUUUUAUGGAAGUGAUCACUGUCCUGUUUCACUUGAGCUCUCCAAAGAAGCAGCGGAAGCACCAGAAUCGAAGAGCUCCGGCUAA